rnacentral:lncRNA from 1 species
AAAAACAUAAAUAUUUUCUCAUGCUCAUCAGCCUCCAUGUUUUAGUAUACAUUCAGAUAUUGUGUACAGGUGAAUAUAUAUAACUCAUAUAAACACUUUUCAUUUUACAUAAUAAUCAAAUAAUUAGCAUUUAAUCUGUUUUGAUUUAGAAUAUAAUCAGCAUUUAAAAUCUGUUCGGAUUUAUAUAAUAAUCAAUUAGGUGUAAACUAAACUUCCGCAUAUUAGAAACAUUUGUUAUACUCAUCAACAUAUAAGAUAAGUUCCUAAUAUC